GGGCCUUGGUGUAGUCGGUUAGCAUAUCCAUGGGCAGUUGGUUAGCCAGUUGGAUAACAUGGAAGAACCUGGGUUCAACUCCCUGGGGGUCCA